GACGAACGCUGGCGGCGUGCCUAAUACAUGCAAGUCGGACGCAGUCGCGACCGGGUGAGUAAUGCGUAGGUAACUACCUAUUAGAGGGGGAUAACUAUUGGUAACGAUAGCUAAUACCGCAUACUAGUAAAUGGACCUUUGUUGUAUUAGCUAGUAGGUAGGAUAAAGGCCUACCUAGGCAACUUUACAUUGCCGACCUGGGAGGGUGUUCGGCCACACUGGGAUUUGGACACGGCCCAUACUCCUACGGGAGGCAGCAGUCGGGAAGCUUCGGCAAUGGGGGGAACCCUGACCGAGCAACGCCGCGUGAGUGAAGAAGGUUUUCGGAUCGUAAAGCUCUGUUGUUGAGGAAGCGGUACUUAACCAGAAAGGGCCGGCUAACUACGUGCCAGCAGCCGCGGUAAUUC
rnacentral:rRNA from 1 species